rnacentral:rRNA from 1 species
UUGAACGCUGGCGGCAGGCCUAACACAUGCAAGUCGAGCGGAAGAAGGGAGCUUGCUCCUGGAUUGAGCGGCGGACGGGUGAGUAAUGCCUAGGAAUCUUCCUGGUAGUGGGGGAUAACGUCCGGAAACGGGCGCUAAUAACGCAUACGUCCCGAGGGAGAAAGUGGGGGAUCGUCGGACUUCACGCUAUCAGAUGAGCCUAGGUCGGAUUAGCUAGUUGGUGGGGUAAAGGCCUACCAAGGCGACGAACCGUAACUGGUCUGAGAGGAUGAUCAGUCACACUGGAACUUGGACACGCUCCUUGCUCCUGCGAGACGCCGCAGUCGCGAACAUUAGACAAUUGUCGGAAACCUUAUACAGCCGUGGCGCGUGUGAGACGAAGAUCUUCCGAUUGUAAAGCACUCUAAGGUGGGAGAAACGGCAUUAACUUGAUACGUUGCUGUUUUUACGUGACCAACAAAAAAAUCCCCCGCCUACUUUCUG